GAAAUAUAUAUAUAUAUAUAUAUAUAUAUAUAUAUAUAUAUAGAACUAGAUUAAUAUACUAUUAAUAGCAUCAAGUCAUUGGUGCUACCAAGUUUUUGGCCAUUGGAUUAAGCGAUGUGCGGUUAGGAUGAUGUGGGCCCCCUAGGGUUGAGUGGGUGGUUGGUUGAAUAGUAUGAUCUAACGGGUAAAAAUGAUCAAAAGGGUAGAUCUAACGGCGAAAAACUUGGUAGCACCAAGUAUUUGGUGCUAUCGAUAGCAUAGCAGCCGGACUCUAUAUAUAUAUAUAUAUAUAUAUAUAUAUAAUUAGGCUGGAAUACUAUUAAUAGUAAAACGCUCUUUUUGCUAUCAAGUUUUUAACCUUUGGAUGAAAAAUUGUAGAGUCGGUUAGAGUUGAGCGGUCCCCCUAGGGUUGAGUAGUCCUCACUGGGUUAUAGUAUUUAAUCCAAUGGUUAGAAAUAAUGAAAAGAGUUGAUCCAAAGGCUAAAAAAUUAGUAGCAAUAAUAGAAUUUUGCUACUAAUAGUAGCCCAGUCCAACUAUAUAUAUAUAUAUAUAUAUAUAUAUAUAUAUAUAUAGUGAGGCUAGUAUGCUUUUGGAAGCACGAAGCGCUCUGUGCUUUCAAGUUGUUUUCGAUGUUAGGACUUUCGAAUCGAUGAUCGGCUCCGUUAGAGUUGAUCUAGAGUAUUUAAAGUACCGANGAGUUGAUCUAGAGUAUUUGAAGUACCUAGAAAAUAAAUUUUGUGAUUUUUCGAUAUCAUUUGCCUAGUGAUCGAAGGGGCUCAAAAUCAAUAAUUUUAAUGGCUGUGGUGAGCCGGUUGCAAGUUUAACGGUAUAAAAAUAUCCAAAUCGCAUGAAAUUUUGAUAGAAAAUUCUUUAUACCAUAUAAAACAAGAUCAAUAACUUUGAUCUAAAAUUUUAAUGGCAUAUCAUCAUAUUUUGUAAGAUUUUUAUUUUUAGCCGUUGAUUUUGAGCCACUUCGAUCACUAGGCAAAUGAUAUCGAAAAAUCGCAAAAUUUAUUUUCUAAAUACUUCAAAUACUCUAGAUCAAGUCUAACGGAGCCGAUCGUCGAUUCGAAAGUCCGAACAUCGAAAACAAAGUGGAAGCACGGAGCGCUCCGUGUUUCCAUCAGCAUACUAGACGCACUAUAUAUAUAUAUAUAUAUAUAUAUAUAGAAUUGAGCUAGAAUAUUUUUAGAAGUAUCACCUCCUUGGUGCUUGUAGGUUUCUAGCCCUUGGAUCAAACACUAUUCCACCUACCACCAUCAUCCCAACCUUACAUCUCUCCAUCUAAGGGUUAAAAACUCAAAAACACUAACCUCUUCGUGCUUUUGAAAGUAUUCUAGCCCAACUCUAUAUAUAUAUAGGCUGGGGCUACUAUAGUCUUAUGAGUAUAAACCCCUUGUACUCAUAAAUUUUUAACCGUUGAUUGAUGGGAUGUGCGGUCAAGAUGAUGGUGGUCCCCAUUUAGAAUGAUAGUAGUCCCCUAGGAUUGAGUGGGUAGUUGGUUAAAUAGUAUGAUCUAACGGUUGAAAAUGGUUAAUAGAAUAAAUCUAAGGGCCGAAAACUUAUAAGAAUAAAAGAGCCAAUACUCAUAAAAAUAUAGUAGCCGAACUCAUAUAUAUAUAUAUAUAUAUAGAAAGAGAGAGAGAGAGAGAGAGAGAGUUGAGUUAUAAUACUCUCAAAAGCACCCCGGGGUUGGUGGGUGCUUUUGAGUUUUUAACUAUUGGAUGGAGAGAUGUAGGGUUGAGAUGAUGAUGGUAGGUGGUGGUAGGUGGAAUAGUAUUUGAUACAAAAGUUAUUAGUAAUCAAGGAAUAGAUUCAAGGGCUAAGAACUCAAAAGUACAAAAGGGUUGGUACUUUUGAAAGUAUUCUAGCUCAAUUAUAUAUAUAUAUAUAUAUAUAGAGUUGAGCUAGAAUACUUUUACAAGUAUCACCUGGGUGGUGCUUUAGUGUUUGUAGCUCUUGGAUGGAGAGAUGUGAGGUUGAGAUGAUGGUGGUAGGUGGUGGUAGGUGGAAUAGUAUUUGAUCCAAGGACUAUUAGUAAUUAAGAAGUAGAUCCAAUGGCUAAAACCUAAUAGCACCAUGGAGGUGAUACUUGUAAAAGUAUCCUAGCUCAACUCUCUCUAUAC
rnacentral:lncRNA from 1 species